rnacentral:rRNA from 1 species
CAGUAGCCGCGGUAAUACGUAGGUGGCAAGCGUUGUCCGGAAUUAUUGGGCGUAAAGGGCUCGCAGGCGGUUUCUCAAGUCUGAUGUGAAAGCCCCCGGCUCAACCGGGGAGGGUCAUUGGAAACUGGGAAACUUGAGUGCAGAAGAGGAGAGUGGAAUUCCACGUGUAGCGGUGAAAUGCGUAGAGAUGUGGAGGAACACCAGUGGCGAAGGCGACUCUCUGGUCUGUAACUGACGCUGAGGAGCGAAAGCGUGGGGAACGAACAGGAUUAGAUACCCCUGUAGUCCCUGUCUCUUAUAC